ensembl:snRNA U6 U6 spliceosomal RNA
GGGCUCACUUUGGCAGCACAUAUACUAAAAUUGGAACGAUACAGAGAAGAUUGGCAUGGCCCCUGUGCAAGGAUGACAUGCAAAUUCAUGAAGUGUUCCAUAUUCUU